UACGUAGGGUGCGAGCGUUGUCCGGAAUUAUUGGGCGUAAAGAGCUCGUAGGCGGUGUGUCGCGUCGGCCGUGAAAACCUGCAGCUUAACUGUGGGCUUGCGGUCGAUACGGGCAUCACUGGAGUUCGGCAGGGGAGACUGGAAUUCCUGGUGUAGCGGUGAAAUGCGCAGAUAUCAGGAGGAACACCGGUGGCGAAGGCGGCUUACUGGUCCGGUUCUGACGCUGAGGUGCGAAAGCGUGGGGAGCAAACAGG
rnacentral:rRNA from 1 species